rnacentral:rRNA from 1 species
GGAGGCAGCAGUAGGGAAUCUUCCGCAAUGGACGAAAGUCUGACGGAGCAACGCCGCGUGAGUGAUGAAGGUUUUCGGAUCGUAAAACUCUGUUGUUAGGGAAGAACAAGUUGGGUAGUAACUGACCCAACCUUGACGGUACCUAACCAGAAAGCCACGGCUAACUACGUGCCAGCAGCCGCGGUAAUA